UCUGUGUCAAUUUUCCAAAUUGGGUUAAUCUUCCAACUGGGCUCCGUUUUCCCAGCGUCGAUUUUCCCAUCAUCCGCCUCUAAGAGCUCAGAGGUAGGGAGAUCCUGCUCCGCCCUCUCGUCCUCUUCCUCCAAGCCUGGGGAAGGGACGUCCUGGCAGGUGGUCAGGGCGUUGCAGUUCGAGUCCAGGCCAGGAUCGGGUGAAGAAGAAGCUCCGGAGCAGGAAUCAGGAGAGCAGCAGAAGCUGUCCGGUGCAGACCUAGAAGACAGAGGUGGUGAAGCCCGGCCAGUGAGGACAAGAGCUGCGGGGAAGGACACCGAGGUGACUUGACGGCAGCAGCAGGCCUGAAGGCUCUGGCUGCUUUGGAAGAUAUUUCAAUGAGAUGCAAAUCGCAAUCGACUGACCAUUAGUUUCCACUGCAGUGUUUGCAGGUGGAGUCGAAUGUAACCCCCCGGGAAUGGAGCCGGGAGGGUCAGAGAACGCGGCUGCGCUCUGGAUCUCCGAAGGGGGGCGGGGGCCUGGAAGAGGUCCGGGCCCAGAAUGGACCUCCAGGUCCCUGCUGCCGCAAUCCGGCCCUACCCUCCAGCCUACCCCUUACUCCCAGAGGAAGGGACCCAGGGAGACCCACGCAGAUGCCCUGAAAGGAGGUGGAGGAUGGGGGUGGGGCAAUACGCAGAGUUUGUCUGGUGAAUGCAGGAAAGGGGUGGGGGCUGGAGAGGAAAAGGAUGGAGCAGCCGUCAGCUUGUCAACUCCGCAUCUGCUGGCUGCCUCGGCCGGGCUCCAGCCUGCGCCCUCGCCCCUCGGAACAGCGGUAUGUCCAUUCUCUCCGCAUUCGUCUCCAUCGUUCAGCCACCACCGCACCCUUUCUCUAUUCAUUUCUCCUGCUCCCUUGUCCUGCCCCGCCCCUCGUGCCCAGGUCCAUCGGUCUACACCCAUGGGCCGAGCCCUCCUCACCAGGGUCCUCCUGGAACCGCUCCGGCCUUGGGCUUGUCCGCGGCUCCCACGGUCCCCGCCCGGCGGGGCACAGAGCGGGAGGGGAGGGGCACUAGCACAACCUACCCUGCGCUGCGCAGCUGCACCCCUUCGCGCAUGGGCGUGGCGUAGCUCAGACCCGCCCCCAGCGUUUAGCGUCUUUUGUCACCCACCUAGCGGGUUUGAUAUAUCCUAAGCUUUUGGCCCCUGGGUCCUGCUUCCGUGCAGCGAGUCCUCCCAGC
rnacentral:lncRNA from 1 species